rnacentral:rRNA from 1 species
AUACCCGCUGAACUUAAGCAUAUCAAUAAGCGGAGGAAAAGAAACCAACAGGGAUUGCCUCAGUAACGGCGAGUGAAGCGGCAAUAGCUCAAAUUUGAAAUCUGGUCCUUUCAGGUCCCGAAUUGUAAUUUGUAGAGGAUGUUUCGGCUCACGCCCCGGUCUAAGUUCCUUGGAACAGGACGUCACAGAGGGUGAGAACCCCGUUUGUGGCCGGCGGCUUACGCCAUGUGAAACUCCUUCGACGAGUCGAGUUGUUUGGGAAUGCAGCUCUAAAUGGGAGGUAAAUUUCUUCUAAAGCUAAAUACUGGCCAGAGACCGAUAGCGCACAAGUAGAGUGAUCGAAAGAUGAAAAGCACUUUGGAAAGAGAGUUAAAAAGUACGUGAAAUUGUUGAAAGGGAAGCGCUUGCGACCAGACUUGCCCGCGGAUGCUCAGCCGGUCCUUCGGCCGGUGUACUCUUCCGCGGUCAGGCCAGCAUCAGUUCGGGCGGUCGGAUAAAGGCCUUGGGAAUGUAACUCACCUCGGUGAGUGUUAUAGCCCUCGGUACAAUACGGCCCGCCUGGACUGAGGAACGCGCUUCGGCUAGGAUGCUGGCGUAAUGGUCGUAAGCGGCCCGUCUUG